GACGAACGCUGGCGGCGUGCCUAAUACAUGCAAGUCGAACGGUCUUUUCUAUGGAAGCUUGCUUCCACUGAGAAGAUAGUGGCGAACGGGUGAGUAACACGUGGGUAACCUGCCCAUAAGAGGGGGAUAACAUCCGGAAACGGGUGCUAAUACCGCAUAGUUUUCUUGAUCGCAUGAUCGAGAAAGGAAAGACGGCCUUUGUGCUGUCGCUUAUGGAUGGACCCGCGGCGUAUUAGUUAGUUGGUGAGGUAACGGCUCACCAAGACGAUGUUACGUAUCAGACAUGAGAGGGUGAUCGGCCACAUUGGGAAAGAGACACGGCCCAAACUCCUACAGGAGGCAGUAGUAGGUAAUCUUCCGCAAUGGACGAAAGUCUGACGGAGCAACGCCGCGUGAGUGAAGAAGGUUUUCGGAUCGUAAAACUCUGUUGUCAGAGAAGAACAAGUCGGAGAGUAACUGCUCCGGCCUUGACGGUAUCUGACCAGAAAGCCACGGCUAACUACGUGCCAGCCGCCGCCGUAAAAC
rnacentral:rRNA from 1 species